AUUGAACGCUGGCGGCAGGCCUAACACAUGCAAGUCGAGCGGAGCGGCGGACGGGUGAGUAAUGCCUAGGAAUCUGCCUGGUAGUGGGGGAUAACGUACGGAAACGGGCGCUAAUACCGCAUACUAUCAGAUGAGCCUAGGUCGGAUUAGCUAGUAGGUGAGGUAACGGCUCACCUAGGCGACGAUCCCUAGCUGGGAUGAGAGGAUGACCAGCCAACCUGGAACUGCGACACGGUCCGAACUCCUAGGGGAGGCAGCGGUGGGGAAUAUUGGACAAUGGGGGCAAGCCGGAUGCACCCAUGCCGCGUUGAUGAAGAAGGCCUUCGGGUUUUAAAGUACUUUCAGCGGGGAGGCGUUACCCGCAGAAGAAGCACCGGCUAACUCCGUGCCAGCAGCCGCGGUAAUUC
rnacentral:rRNA from 1 species